rnacentral:rRNA from 1 species
GGUGAACGCUGGCGGCGUGCCUAACACAUGCAAGUCGAACGGAAAGGCCCUGAUUUUGUGGGGUUCCCGAUUGCCGAAGGCGUGAGGAACACGUGUGUAACCUGCCCUUGUUUUUCGGGUAAGAUAAGGAAACUGGGGUUAAGAUCGGAUAGGAUCUGCUGUAGCAUGGUGGGCGGUGGAAAGUCUCGGCUGUUGGGGAUGGACUCGCGGCUUAUCGGCUUGUUGGUGGGGUAGGGGCUGACCAAGGCUUUGACGGGUAGCCGGCCUGAGAGCGUGGCCGGCCACAUGGGGCCUGAGGUACGGCCCAGACUCCUACGGGAGGCAACAGUGGGAAAUAUUGCACAGUGAGCGGGAGCGUGAGACGACGACGCCGCGUGCGUGAUGACGGGUUUUGGGUUGAGAACCGCUGUAGCCUGUGACGAAGCGGGAGUGACGGUAAUGAAUAAAGAAGCACCGGCUAACUACGUG